GGGAACCUCGCCCUUUUGCAAUACCUAUACUGGGAGAAGGUGCAACCAAUCACCGGUCCAAAAUAUGAUCCGUUGGCAUUGUUGAGCCCGCUGAUGAGGAACUGGACGGAAGAUAUGGCUGUGAGAAGAGACAAAUACGACUAUGAAUAUGGUCGUGGUGUUGGGAUGAUCGAUGACAACAUUACAGAGGAGUAUAGGUUGAAAAAAAUUGCGGA